UACGUAGGUGACAAGCGUUGUCCGGAUUUACUGGGCGUAAAGAGCGCGCAGGCGGUCGAUCAAGUCGAGUGUGAAAGCCCCCGGCUCAACUGGGGAGGGUCAUUCGAUACUGAUCGACUCGAAGGCAGGAGAGGGUAGUGGAAUUCCCGGUGUAGUGGUGAAAUGCGUAGAUAUUCGGAAGAACACCAGUGGCGAAGGCGACUUACUGGACACAUAUUGACGCUGAGGUGCGAAAGCGUGGGGAGCAAACAGG
rnacentral:rRNA from 1 species